rnacentral:lncRNA from 1 species
AAAAAAAAAGUUAACAUGGAUGGGGUUGCAGCGCAAGGGGCAAAAAAGCAUAACAAAAAGGGACCUUGGCCGUGACGACAAGGAGCCGAUGGAGGGACGCCCAAGAUUGGCGGCAUGUGCCAUCGGCGAUGCGGACGCAGCCAAGUGGGGCCACGUUGAUAAGCACGUAUCCGUAAUCCAUGUGACCCGCCCCCGCCCCCGCCCGCAUAAACAAUCCGCUGCCGUUGCCGUGCCUUUCAGCGCCUUGUCUCCCCUGCCUAAUUGCUCCGGGGAUACCUGCAACGCCACCCCCCAAAAAUAAUCGAUCACUCAACCAACAACCCCACUGGUUUUAUAGUACUCCUGAUUAGUGCAGGAUUCCCUUGCCGUUUGUUUGGAGCCUGGGAGAAAUUACCCAAAUAGUGGUGGUGGUUUCUUGAUCCGGUUUAAUUUAAUAAACGCUAGAAAUUACCCGAAUAGUAUUGGUUUCUUGAUUUGCUUAAUAAACACCGGAAGAGAUUGCUACAGUGGUUCCUUGAUCUGGUUUAAUGAACACUUUGUAAAAAUUGGUAGAGUAUUGGUUUCUUGAUCUGGUUUAACAAACGCUACUACAAAGUACCCGAAUGGCACUGGUUUCUUCAUCUGGUUUAACAACAGGUACAAAAUACCCGAAUAGCACUGGUUUCUUGAUCUGCUUUAUUAAUAAACACCUGCAACGAUUCGCAAUGGUUUCUUGUUAAGAUCAGCUACCAGUUCCUGAAAUUGGUAAUACAACGGUGUGCACGGAAAGAGUAAAAUAAGGAAACUUUAGUAGUGAUUUUUCCAUAAAUAUCUGGAGAGAGAAGUUAGGGGCAUCCAAGAGGCAAGAACACAGAGGCCCCUCUGGUGUUCACAACACAUCCUUGUUCCAUCAAUUUUCCGUUUCUCGUAAAAAAAGCCGAAGGCCGUACACAAAUUUCUCAUCACACAAAGCGCUACACCCGUAGGAGCGCUCUCUGCUGAAAAAUAUUUACACGGUACAGCGAUGGCACGAGGCGUACAGAAAACGAAACCAAAAGGCAAAUGCGAAAGGCGAGGAGCAGAGCCCUCUGCUAGGAUCCAUCUAAAUUCCUACGCGCACACGGAGAGGCCACACACGGAGCUAGCACAUAGCCGGGGGCGACGCGACGGGGCGAAUCUCUCUCUUCUCUUCUCUUCGCUUCACUCG